ACGUAGGAGACAAACGUUAUCCGGAGUUACUGGGCGUAAAGGGCGUGUAGGCGGUUAGUUAAGUCUGGCGUGAAAGCUCUCGGCUAAACCGGGAGAGGUCGUCGGAUACUGGCAAACUAGAGGAUGGUAGAGGCGUGUGGAAUUCCGGGUGUAGUGGUGAAAUGCGUAGAGAUCCGGAGGAACACCAGUGGCGAAGGCGACACGCUGGGCCAUACCUGACGCUAAAGCGCGACAGCAUGGGGAGCAAACGGGAUUAGAAACCCCGGUAGUCCAUGCCGUAAACGAUGCCAGCUAGGUGUUCAAGACUCGCAAGAGGCUGGGGUACCGAAGCAAACGCGAUAAGCUGGCCGCCUGGGGAGUACGGUCGCAAGGCUA
rnacentral:rRNA from 1 species